rnacentral:rRNA from 1 species
GUGAGGAAUAUUGCGCAAUGGAGGCAACUCUGACGCAGCCAUGCCGCGUGCAGGAAGAAGGCCCUCAGGGUUGUAAACGGCUUUUGACGGUGAAGAACCGACAGGAUGCGUCCUGUUUUGACGGUAGCCGUUGAAUAAGCACCGGCUAACUACGUGCCAGCAGCCGCGGUAAUACGUAGGGUGCAAGCGUUGUCCGGAUUUAUUGGGUUUAAAGGGUGCGUAGGUGGCCAAAUAAGUCAGUGGUGAAAUACGGUUGCUCAACAAUCGAGGUGCCAUUGAUACUGCUUGGCUUGAAAUAAUUGGAGGCUGCCGGAAUGGAUGGUGUAGCGGUGAAAUGCAUAGAUAUCAUCCAGAACACCGAUUGCGAAGGCAGGUGGCUACGAUUUAUUUGACACUGAGGCACGAAAGCAUGGGGAGCAAACAGGAUUAGAUACCCGGGUAGUCC